rnacentral:rRNA from 1 species
GCUGAAGUGCACACCGCUCUGUUCUGUUUUCCUCUUCUUCAAUACGAAAUUUUCCCCACCGCCGCCGCCUAGGUCAUAUCCUACCGCCGCCGGCCACCACGGAGCAUGCCCCAUCCGCUGCUGGACGCCCCAAUCAAGAGCAACCUAGAGGGCUAUUGCGCGUGCGCCGAAUAGUUUGCUCAGAGCCGGCAGAAGCUGUUGGCAUCCCCAUGGGAGCGGAGACGAACCUCUCGUCGCCGCAGCUAGAUCCGACCAAGUCGCGGGAGUCGGUGACCCUACUCAACGACGAUCAGGGUUCAGUAUACGUGGCUGAGUGUGACAAAAGCUUGGAGCCGGCAAUUGGCAUGGUCGUUGAUAAAUGGGAGACCGGCGAGAUGUUCUACACACGGUGAGAUGUUCUACACAUGAUCAGGAGAAUUAGAUGGCGCAACAGACAUGCAGGUUAUUUGGCAUCACAGAAGUGUUUAUGGUUUCACAUAUUUAAUGUUGUACGAUCUUUUGAGAGGGUUUAUUAGGUUGUUGUAAUUCUUGAUGUUAUCAUGUAGAUGUGCAUUUCUGCCAGCAUAGGAUGGCGUACAAGGAGAAUAUGAAGUCACCAAGUGAUCUGUAGUGAAGCUGUUUGGUUUAAUUAUAUAAAUUAGUGAACUAAAUAAUACGCUUGUAAAUAUAUGUAUAUUAAGGUCAUGUUAAUUCCUAUAUCAAGAUGGCAGCAUAUGAUGCACCUUUAUUUGGUGAACUGCUUCUGAUCCAGCGAUCUUUUGAUGCUAUGAAUGAUUUUUGGCAAUUUGCCAUCCC